AACGAACGCUGGCGGCAGGCCUCAAACAUGCAAGUCUAGGGGGUGCAGCAAUGCAUCACCGGCGGACGGGUGCGUAACGCGUGGGAAUAUACCUUUCGGUUCGGAACAACUGCGGGAAACUGCAGCUAAUACCGAAUGUGCCCUAACGGGGAAAGAUUUAUCGCCAAAGGAUUAGCCCGCGUAGGAUUAGCUAGUUGGUGAGGUAAUGGCUCACCAAGGCUCCGAUCCUUAGCUGCUGAGAGGAAGAUCAGCCACACUGGGACUGAGACACGGCCCAGACUCCUACGGGAGGCAGCAGUUGGGAAUCUUGGACAAUGGGGGAAACCCUGAUCCAGCCAUGCCGCGUGAGUGAUGAAGGCCUU
rnacentral:rRNA from 1 species